CGGUGUAUACGUUAAAAAGGGCCUGCUGAAGAGGCUGUGCCUGGAUGCUAACAACUUAGGCUUUCUCUUCGCCGAGGGCCUCCUUAAAGCUCCUUUUUCAAUAGAAGACUGAAGGGAGGUCCUUCUUUGGGCAGCUGUCAAAUGCCUUCCACAGGAGGAUCCAUUGGAUUCCAAGAAGGUCAACACCAUAGUAGACUACACAACGCAACAUUUCAGCCUACUUCCAGGGCAGCUGGAGAACUCGUCCUCCUUACUAGCCCGGGGAUAUUAAAUGGAUGUGUUCAAGCACAAA